rfam:Betaproteobacteria bacterium RIFCSPLOWO2_02_FTLL_62_17 rifcsplowo2_02_scaffold_4797, whole genome shotgun sequence.
UCCCCGAUAGCUCAGCUGGUAGAGCGACGGACUGUUAAUCCGCAGGUCCCAGGUUCGAGCCCUGGUCGGGGAG